GGUGAUCGGCCACAUUGGAACUGAGACACGGUCCAAACUCCUACGGGAGGCAGCAGUGGGGAAUAUUGCACAAUGGGCGAAAGCCUGAUGCAGCAACGCCGCGGGAGUGAUGAAGGCCUUCGGGUCGGAAAACUCUGUCCUCAAGGAAGAUAAUGACGGUACUUGAGGAGGAAGCCCCGGCUAACUACGUGCCAGCAGCCGCGGUAAUACGUAGGGGGCUAGCGUUAUCCG
rnacentral:rRNA from 1 species